AGGCAUAUAGCUCAAUGGCAUAGCACCUUCCUGGCAAGCACGAGGUCCUAAGUUUGAUUCCCAGUAUGUUUG
rnacentral:tRNA from 1 species